rnacentral:rRNA from 1 species
UACGAAGGGAGCUAGCGUUGUUCGGAAUUACUGGGCGUAAAGCGUGCGUAGGCGGCUUGACAAGUUGGGAGUGAAAUCCCGGGGCUUAACCUCGGAAUUGCUUCCAAAACUGUCUCGCUAGAGUAUGGUAGGGGAUAGUGGAAUUCCUAGUGUAGGGGUGAAAUCCGUAGAUAUUAGGAGGAACACCAGAGGCGAAGGCGACUAUCUGGCCAUUACGUGACGCUAAGGCA